rnacentral:rRNA from 1 species
UACGUAGGGGGCAAGCGUUGUCCGGAAUCAUUGGGCGUAAAGAGCGUGUAGGCGGCUCGGUAAGUCCGCUGUGAAAGUCCAGGGCUCAACCCUGGAAUGCCGGUGGAAACUGUCGAGCUAGAAUCCGGAAGAGGCGAGUGGAAUUCCUGGUGUAGCGGUGAAAUGCGCAGAUAUCAGGAGGAACACCAAUGGCGAAGGCAGCUCGCUGGGACGGUAUUGACGCUGAGACGCGAAAGCGUGGGGGAGCAAACAGG